AUAUCAAUAAGCGGAGGAAAAGAAACCAACAGGGAUUGCCUCAGUAACGGCGAGUGAAGCGGCAACAGCUCAAAUUUGAAAUCUGGCUCUUUCAGGGUCCGAGUUGUAAUUUGUAGAAGAUGCCUCGGGUGUGGCUCCGGUCUAAGUUCCUUGGAACAGGACGUCAUAGAGGGUGAGAAUCCCGUAUGUGACUGGCUGCCUUCGCCCAUGUGAAGCUCUUUCGACGAGUCGAGUUGUUUGGGAAUGCAGCUCAAAAUGGGUGGUAAAUUUCAUCUAAAGCUAAAUAUUGGCCAGAGACCGAUAGCGCACAAGUACUGUGAAGGAAAGAUGAAAAGAACUUUGAAAAGAGAGUCAAAAGACUUGAAAUCGUUGAGAAGGAAGCGGUAGAAAUUUAUUCUUCGGCAUUCAUCUUAGGUUUUCACUUAACUAUUCCGGAGCUAAGGUACGCAAGGCCUGGCGUUGGACUUGGGGAAGUGGGGCUGUGGUGGGUGUUGUGAGGCAAAAUGGGAUUGUAUUUCUGCAAAGGUGCUUGUCGCUUAGGGGGCUUCGGCUCUCAACGAUGGGUGUGCCGGUAGGGGUAUAGUCCGAGGGGCUUUGUGCGAUUUUGCCAAAAUGGUUUUUACCGA
rnacentral:rRNA from 1 species